rnacentral:rRNA from 1 species
CACUCCUGCGGGAGACAGCAGUGGGGAAUUUUGGACAAUGGGCGAAAGCCUGAUCCAGCAAUGCCGCGUGAGUGAAGAAGGCCUUCGGGUUGUAAAGCUCUUUUGUCAGGGAAGAAACGGUGAGAGCUAAUAUCUCUUGCUAAUGACGGUACCUGAAGAAUAAGCACCGGCUAACUACGUGCCAGCAGCCGCGGUAAUACGUAGGGUGCAAGCGUUAAUCGGAAUUACUGGGCGUAAAGCGUGCGCAGGCGGUUUUGUAAGUCUGAUGUGAAAUCCCCGGGCUCAACCUGGGAAUUGCAUUGGAGACUGCAAGGCUAGAAUCUGGCAGAGGGGGGUAGAAUUCCACGUGUAGCAGUGAAAUGCGUAGAUAUGUGGAGGAACACCGAUGGCGAAGGCAGCCCCCUGGGUCAAGAUUGACGCUCAUGCACGAAAGCGUGGGGAGCAAACAGGAUUAGAAACCCCGGUAGUCCCAUGA